rnacentral:lncRNA from 1 species
ACGCCUUGAGGCCCUCCAUCUUUUCCUUAUCACAACUUGUCCCGUUCUUGCACCGAUUCCUCACUCCUAGUGCGUCCCACUUUCACCAGAUUUCUGAGGAAGAAAGGAAAAUGUCGAGCUCUCAGUGUUUUGAGAACCCACCAAACCUGAGCUCCACUUGCGGAGCAGGACACGUUGAAGAGCUUGCAGGUCUCAAGACUUACGUCACCGGCCCUUCCGAUUCCAAGCGUGCUGUUCUUCUCAUCGCCGAUGUUUUCGGUACUGGCCCAUUUCUUUAAUUUUGAUUUUGUGGUGUUUCUCUCAGUUGGGUCUUUUCUUUUGGUCAAUUAUGUAUAUCUCCUUGGUUCUUUGUCGUUCUUGUGCUUUUCGAUUGGUCCAUGAUAUUGCUGCUUGAUUGAUGAUCUUUGCUCAUCUGUUUGUGCAGGGUAUGAGGCUCCUAAGCUGAGGUAUGGAAUCUUUCUCAAGUUGUUCUAUGUAUAUGUUGUUCUCUAGUGCCAUCUUUUGACGUUUCAUGGUGAAUAAACUCUGUAUUCUCCGGAUAGCAUACAUUUGAAAGCUUUGCUUUUCCGUUCACCUUUCACCUGUGAUGACGAAGAGCAUUAGAUGGCACUUGAGGGCGAAGCCAGUUCAUUCUGGAUGAGUGUGUUUGGCGUUCUUCUGUUCCAAGUUAAAACAUCAUUUGUUGAAUUGUAUAUACACGCGGGACUUCAUGGCAUAGUCCAGCUGACAUUUUAUAUACAUCGCUUGAUUCAAUAUGAAUCACAGUUUUCUUUGUUCUAAUGAUUUCUGCUACUAAUAUGACUCAGCUGGUCAUGUAAUUCGGUUUCAUCUUGAGAUAGAGUUAUCCUUAGUUGCAACACCAAAAUCACAUAAGCUGGGGUUGCCUUCUUGACAGUCCCGGCAUAAUUCUAUGUUUUAACAAGAUUGAGAAUGAUAAGAGUUACCUUUUCAAAUUGUCAUACUUAUUUGCGGAAUGCUUUCGUUGUGUAGGAAACUCGCAGAUAAAAUUGCAUCCGCGGGAUUCUUGGUGGCUGUACCUGAUUUCUUUUACGGAGAUCCCAUUAUUGAUUUCACUAGUCCUAAUUUCAAUUUUGAAGCUUGGUUUAAGAAUCACGGCACGGUGAGUUUUUCACUCCUUCAGGCUGUGAAAGUGUGACAGUACAUUUAGAAGUUCAGAGGAAACAAGGGGCUUUCUACUGUGCAAACUUGAUUUGUAGACUCGAAUCACACGGUGUAAGUUGCAUUGGUAUUUAGACCUGGUUGGAGAUUGCUGGUCAUUUCAAAGAUUUUCGACGCCCAGCAAGAUCUUUAUUAUAUAAAAUUCCAAAUGCAAAACAUGAAACAGCAUAAGUAGAAUAAAAGCCUCAUGAAUUUUGAUGUUACCGACUUUUAGACAGUCUUUUUAUAAACGUUUACUUAAUUUGCUUCUUUAGGAUAAAGGGCAUGAAGAUGCCAAGCCAGUGAUUGCUGCUCUUAAGAGCAAAGGUGUGUCUACCAUUGGGGCUGCAGGAUUUUGUUGGGGAGGUAAAAUUUUCUGAAUUCACUUUCCCAGUUUUGAGGGGGUUGUUGGGUUAAGAAAUGGGAAAUUUGUUCUAGUUGGAAAUUGUGAUCCAUUUUCUCUAAAAAAAUCUAGAGCUACUAACUUAAUCAUUAAGGUGAGAACCUUCUAGAAUUGUUGAGAAUGGAGAUUGCUAGUUGAAUCUAGAAAAUUCACAUGGGAAUGCAAGCAAGCAACAGCCAAGCAUCAAAGAAAAUCCUAGAACAAGUAAGAGGAGUCUAGAGAAGUCCAUGCUUCAAGAGAAGUCUAGAAUUCUAGAAUGCUUCAAGAGAAGUUUAGAAUUCUCUAUCUUAUGUUAGUAGCUAUUUGUAGAGAAGUGUAGAGACUUCCUCCACCUACUUUGGCAGCCUAUAUAAAGGAGCAAGUGCUCCAUGUUUUGGUGAAAGGGAGCUAACCAUAAAAACCACAUCAUGCUCCCUCACCAACACUUCCUUCAACUAUUGUAAAAUUAUUUUAUCCAACUAAUGAAACUAUUUUUGUCCCAUAAACCUUCUCAAAAUAUCCCAUAUCCCAUGUUCUUUAUCCUUUAAUUAUCCUAAUUUAUCCCUUGUCCAUCCUCUACAAACUAUAUCAUACACUUGCACACAACAUCACUAAUAAAAAACUAUCAUCAAUACCAAAACCAUACUUCCGCGCAUAUUUAUAUUUUUAACAGUUCUACAUUGACCAUUGAGAAACUAGUUUUGUUGACUUGCAGAAAAGUUCUUUCAAGUUGUUAAAAAGAGCUUGCCUAUUCUUUUCAGGAGUGGUGCUGGUGAAAUUAGCAGGCACUGAAGACAUUCAAGCAGCAGUUAUUCUGCACCCCGGUCCUAUGACCGAAGAUGCAAUCAAAGGUAAAGCUAUGCCAAUAAACAUGGACUUGCUAUUUUCUUCUCAGCCGCAGCGAUAUAAUUUCUUCAUGAGGGUAUAAGACUUGGUACUUGGCACGGGAGCCUUUAUCGCCUAUUAUGAAAUGCUCAUGAACAAUUAAAUUAUAUGAAUUCUGAUGGGAGUCUGCAAUGCAGCCAAGAGUGACGAAGAAACUCGCUAUAACAUGUCCGGUCAAUCACAAAAAAUCGAUGGCACGACUUUUGUCUACUUGAGAAGUGUUCCUUAAACUGGAAGCCUUAAAAGACCUUAUUUUCUUCUGUUCUUUGUUCAGCUGUCAAGAUUCCAACUGCUAUAUUGGGAGCUGAGAUCGACCAUUCUUCCCCGCCGGAACAACUGAAAAAGUUUGGGGAGAUCAUGUCGGCUAAAACUGAAGUAAGCUUCUUAGGAUGCUUUUCGUUGGUUGCAAACCUAUUGUCAGAAAAUGCAAUCGUUUUUCCACGUUCCCAUCAUUUCGCUUGCAAAGCACUUUCCCUUCCUGGUUAUUUAUACACAUCGCUAAUUCAAAGACCCCGGUUUUGCAGUUUGAGAGCUAUGUGAAGAUAUUCCCUGGUGUUAGUCAUGGAUGGAGUGUGAGGUACGACGACGACAAUGAAUUGGUGGUCAAGAGCGCCGAAGAGGCCCAAGAAGACACUUUGAAUUGGUUCUUGAAGCAUGUCAAGUGAAGAGAACAGAAGGCAUUGAAGCAGAACAUUCUGACGGAAGCAGUAGAUGACAGUAUUGUGUGAGACGAACAGUUUGAGGACUAGUCAUCUAUUGUAAUAUCUGGCGAGGGAACAAUGUACUGUGCUGUUGAUACUUAGAGAAAUAAAGACAUUAGUUUCAUCGCUUAAACUUGGAAGAUUGAAAACGAAAUAUAUCGCCUAGAGUUGUAUCGUGGCGAUUUUCGUGGCGAUUUGGGUGCAUUUUCUAUUCGAAUUGAUCAGAGGUGUUCACUGUCCAUUAAAUGAGGACCACACAAUGGAAUAUGAAACAGCAUAUUCGUUUCCAAUCCCAAGGAUAUGUUAUUUGCAUGGUUACCACCAAGUCAUCAGCUAAAGUGGCUAGUAUCUAAUGUAAUCUCUAGACCACUUAAUUUUAAAUGCAUCCAUUAUAUUAUAAGUUAUAACUUGACAAGUAUGCGAGCAAUUAAGAUUUCAUUAAAAGAUACACGAUCUCAAAAUCGCAUGCCCCAAGAAAAAAAGAAGAAGAGAUGAAAGUAAGGAUAUGGAGAAAAAUAGUAUCCAAAAUAUAUGAGAAACCAACUAUUUGAACUUAUGACAAAAGCGAAGCGUUUGUUUUUGGUCAAGUCUAUAUGCUAGUAGGUCAAGAUUUUUCGAAACUAAGUCAGAUAGACAUGGAAAAAUUCGUCCUUCAUGUAUAUGGUAUAUAUUUUCGCAAUGUGCAUUUGUAUACUGACCAAAAAAUUUCAGCUUUUGGCCAGAUGGUGUUUUUUUGUGAGAGAACGCAUGUCUCCAUCGGGCUAAAUAUAUUAUGGUUUCGUCUUUGUUCGUUUCUCGUCUGUUUCUCACCGGCCCUCUUUCUUGUUUGACAUCAGCAGUGACGUUAAUACGAACCACGAGACCUUUGAUGACUAAUCUGAACCAUAAGAUUACACGGACACCUUUUUCAGACACUGUGAUAUUGUAUCGCGGAUAAGCCAAUGGUUUUCAGAAGGCAAAGCAUGAUUCCACUUAGCGACCAGUGAAUCACCGUAUCAUCUCUCGUCUCUUGGCUCUGUUCUUACCUCGGAAAGAAUAAAGAAACGAAGAAAAAGACCAUGAACAGUAAACAAUGAAAGAAAAGAGAAGAAAAGAUCAAAAUAUCUAUAAUUUUUUUCAAAACGACGUCGUUUUGAGUGGAGUUGUGCAUGUCAAUAUCACUAACCCUUGCCAUGUAAGAUGACAAGCAUUGAUUUGCACCUCUACAUCAGAAUUUCCUGACAUAAAUUAGUUGGAUAGACAAUAUUACAAAAUUGUUGAAAGGUUCAUGACUACACUAGCCGAAUUGGUCAGUUUAUUACAAAAUUGGAACUUGUACAAUUUGUUCACAGCUUUUGGGUAGUUUUUCCCAUCUUAAGUAAGUCGUAAUUCUAAUACAUGGACGCAUAAGCUCUAUGCUUUUCUUAUUAUGAAGGUUGAAUUCCAUUUGAAGGUUAGGUAAUCGUUUUCUGGUUUAGGUAUUUAUUUUUUGUCCUAUGGUGAAUUAGGUGAUGCUUUUUUCGCCUCGUUGGGACAGAGAAAACUGCUUUGUCUCCAAUCCGGCAACUUCCAUAUUGCUGAACCUGGACAUGAAUUUAGUAUCUGUAACACAAUUGUUGAAAUAACCUAAUGAAAAAACCUAGAUUGGUCGAAAUUGGUUGAUUUGGGUCAUCUAGGAACCGGCUUGUUGAAUUAAAGUCUAUCGAACCCAUUGGUUGAUCCAGGCUGAAAUUGGAUUAGUCCACUUAUCAAUUGCGUUAACAUGUCAGGGCUCAACAGCCGGCAAUUAUCUGGAUUUGUAAGAAAGAUCCAUGCAUAGCCGGUGAUGGGCCUUUCUCUCUGGGAAAUUGGACAUUGCUGAAAAAUGCUUUCAAAGAUCUUUCUAUUGGAGUUUUCGAAGUUCUCCAUAUCCACCAAAAAUGUUUAAUUUUUACUAGUUCAGAUUUUCAAAUGAGAUAAAAAAAAAAUCAUUUUGAGAUGUUUGCUUUCAAAAGUUUCUAAAAUAAGUUUCUAAAGAAAAAUACUCGAGUUUAGCGCACAUCAGACGAUCCCUUCCUCGAGACUGUGGAGUGGUUCCUCGGGUCCAAGAUUCGGGGACAAGGGGGUAGGUUUCCCAAGUUCAAGCACUGGAUUCUACGCACUCCCGAGGCUAAGUACGAGGCAUCGGAAGUAGGGGACCGAGGUCCCAUCUUGCUCUGUUACGUAGUGGCGAGUGUUGGGGUCCCUGGUUCAACGCACCAACGUCCCGAGUCCAGCUACUGAAGUUUCAGGACUAAGCAUGGUGGUCUUGAAUUUGACCCACAAGCACCCAAGAUAUUGGGUCCUAGCACUUGGUUCCUAAGUUCGACCCUAAGGUCCUAUGUUUCGCAGCUGAAGUUCCCUAUCUCCAUAGAUGAGGCGAUCGGGUUCUCGAAUUUAGAUGAUAAGGUCUUGGUUUAGCCUUAGGUCAAGGGCAUGGGGAUUGGGGUCCCAAGUUCAAGGUCGAUGACACGGGCGUGUAUUUUAAAUAUUAUAACUUUUUACUAAGUUCCUUGAUAUUUAACAUAUGCUAGGAUAGAAUUUCUUUGUAAUUUAAUUAGAAUUUCAUUAGUUCUUCAAAUAUGUUAAGUUUUCUUGUUAUAUAAAAUAUUGAGAGUUUUCCUCUGUUGCAUUCAUGUGUGUGCGCCAUCGUGUGUAGUGCGAGUGUUCACUUGUGUUGGCAAAUUGCCACUUGUGCAAUCACUCUUUUAUGUUACAUUAAACGGGUCCGGCAUUUGAGCACCGAUGUCUCAAAUUCAACCUUAAGAUGCAAAGCCCGGCCUGUCACACCCCAAAAACUACAAAGAAUGGGGAUGACACAAAGGUCCUUCUUUACAAAGGACGUAGCCUCAAACACAACCAGCAAACUGAUAUUAACUUAUAUAUAUAUCAGAUAAACCUUCAAAUUGGUUGCAACAUCAGAGUUCCUAUAUGUUGGAGAAAUCUUCCUGGAGUAUUUUGAAGCUGAUAAAACGUUUCCAUCAGUCUAGUCUGAAGAUUUGCAGACUCUACUAUUUAAAGUCUGAAGACCUCUGGACUGCCAGACUCAAGACUCAAAGUCUAUUCUCAUUGACAGUUUCUAAUCCGUCGAAGAAGGGCUAUCCAAGACUGGAUGUUUCGUUAAGGAUUUGACCUUAUCGACUGGAGAAGAUCGCUUGGCUAGAUAUGACAUAACGGAAUCCUUUAUUGACUCAAAGAUUGAGGAUCCGAUGAUUGGCGGAGUAUACUUGGAAGGUUCUACUUAUGGAAACCGAGAUCCUGAUUGUAUAGGCGAGCAGGAUUGAUGGGCUAUCGACAUGUUCCUUAAAUAGCUUGAAUGAUCUUCCUAAUUGAUUCUGUCAAACGGGAAGAUUGGAAGAAUUUAUUUGGUAAGUGCCGACGGGUAUGAUGGCAUAAAGGAGUAUAUAAGGAAGACGUUCCAGUUGUUCAAGUGUGUGUGCGAUAGAAGAAUUCCAAAGUCUGAAGCUCUUUGUUCUUAGUCAAUUCAUUUUCUGAGCAAAAUCUUGUAUGCAAAAGAGAGUCCAUAUUCUUGAGAAACCUUGAGGAAGUGUGCUAGAGUAUCUACACUGUGGAAUCAAGGGAAAGCCUUGCUGUAACAACUCUUUUGUUCAUAGUGAAAUCCAGCCGGUGGGCUGUCAAUGUGGAAGAGUGGACGUAGGCUUGGAAUAAGCCGAACCACUAUAAUUUCUGUAUUCAUUUUCUCUUCCCUACUCUCUGCUUUACUUUGAUCAUAAUUCGCUUUGUUAACGAAAGGAGAACUUCCUUUCUAUUGUCUGCUUAGUAUUGCUCUCUUAUCUCGAGAAAAUAUUUUUUACACCUAUUCACCCCCCUCUAGGUGCUUAUACUAGAUAUCUCAAUUGGUAUCAGAGCCUGUGUACUCACUUUGUUUGAAGUGUUUUACUUUAGAGUUAAAGAUCCAUGGCUAGUAUGUUAGCUCCAGGGCUAGUAGAAGGGCAAAGCAAUACCAGACCACCUUACUUUGAUGGAAAUGAAUACAACAUAUGGAAAAACAAGAUGAAGGCGUUCCUAAGAUCAAAGGAUCCUCUGGAAUGGGACGUUAUAGACAACGGAAUCAUUCCUAAAGCUGCACCUGUCUUAGAGAGAGGAAAAGAAACUGUUGAGUCUAGUGAAAUGACUUAGGAAGAGAUAACCAAGAGACAAGCUCUUGAUGCAAAAGUAAUUUAUUCUUUAUAUUGUGCUUUGUCACCUACUGAAUAUAACAGAUUAUCUUCUUGUGUUACAGUGAAAGAAGUUUGGGAUAGAUUACAUAUUACCUAUGAAGGAACCGAUCGAGUGAAAGAAACCAGAAUCAACAUUCUCCUCGGUCAAUACGAAACCUUCAAAAUGAAAUCAGGAGAAUCUAUAACUGAAAUUGUGAAUGGUCUUGAAAAUCAAGGUCAACCAAUUUCUGAUCCCAUGAAAGUAAACAAGCUACUGCGUGGACUCUCCAAGGAUUGGAAUCACAUAAAGACCUCAAUAAGGGAGACACAAAGAAUUAUGCCACUAUCUGUCGAUGAGUUAGUUGGGACUCUUCAGUCUUAUGAAGUGGAACGAAUCAAUGAAGACGAAGAUCCUAAAGGUAAGAAAUCCAUUGCAUUAAAAUCCAAUGAUGAUUAUGAUGUUACAGAUUCUGAAGACGAUAUGGAUGAUGAGGAGCUUGCUCUCAUGAUAAGAAGAUUCAGAAAGCUGUACAGAAAAGGAAGAAGAUUCAAUCCAAAGAAACAAAGUUUUCAAAAGUAACAGACUAAGUUUGUUGAGGAUGAUGAAUCAAAUAGAGAUGUAGUCUGCUUUGAAUGUAAGAAACAUGGACACAUCAGACCCAACUGUCCUCUUCUGAGGAAGAAGAAAGGAAAAACUAAAAAGUAUCGAAAUGCUCUUAAAACAGAAACCUGGAGUGAUACAGAAUGUGAAGAAAGUGAUGAUGAUUAUGCCAAUAUAUGUCUGGUGGCACAAUCGGAUUUAGAUUCAAAUUCCAAGACAGACUCAGAUUCAGACAGUGAAGUUGAGGUGAGUAACUCUAAAAUCCUUAUUAAAGUUUCUAAAUACAUUGAUGAGUUGUGUUUUAGUCUUAAGACUUCUCUUAAAAUGAUUUCCGAACUUAAAAAGGAAAAUUCUGCAUUAAAACAACAGGAAAAUGUUUUAAAAGAAAAGGUGAAAUGUUUAGACAUGAAUGUUUCUACUCUUAAAGAAAGAGAAGACAACCUUUCGAAAGAAAAUGUAUUUUUAAAAAAUGACAUAUCAAAUAUUUCCAAAAGAUUUUCAAUAGGAUUUGAGAAACUUGAGAAAAUUCUUUCAGCACAAAGACCUUAUUUCAAUAAAUCUGGUUUGGGAAUGACUGUGGAAACCAUUCCUUUAAUUGAUUUUCCUAAAGUGAAGGAAAGAAUUAAGCAAAGACCCAUAAGAGAUGCUUACAAAAAUCAUUUUAAAAAGGUCUUUGUAAAACCAAUAGGUCUCAAUGCUCUCAGAUGUUCAAAGUGCAAUAGUUCAGAUCAUUUUGAGAAAGAAUGUCCUAUGGUUUUGAAACCUGUUAAAAAAGUAUGGGCAAAAACUGCAUAUCAUACUAACACCAAUGGACCCAAUAAAAUAUAGGUACCAAAGAAAGUUUGAGUCUCUUUUUUAAAUGCAGGUCACUAUCAAGAAGAAGGUAAAAUGGUAUCUAGAUAGUAGAUGCUCAAGACAUAUGACAGGAGAUUCAAAUUGCUUCAUAAAGCUCAUUCAAGUAAAUGGUGGAAAAGUAUCAUUUGGAGGAAACAUCAAAGGAAGAAUUGUGGGAUUUGGAACUGUAAAUAUUGAAAACCUCACAAUCAGCAAUGUUUCCUUAGUGGAAGGACUCAACUACAAUCUGCUCAGUAUCAGUCAGUUGUGCGAUACCAGUUUCAAAAUCAACUUUCAAGAAAGAAUAUGUUCAGGAACUAGUAAAGAUUCCACUCAGUCAUCAUGGGUCGAAGACAUGGAAAUAUCUACCUCUUGGACGUGAAACCAGAUGAAUCGCAAUGUCUAAUCUUAAUUCAAGACGAAGCGAACUUAUGGCACAGAAAACUUGGGCACAUCAAUAUGAAGCAAAUAGCCAAAAUUUCAGCAAAGAAGCUAGUUCGUGAUCUACCCAAUCUGUCAUACCAAAAGUCUGAUCUAUGUACACCAUGUGUAUUGGGAAAGCAGGUAAGAAAUUCAUUUAAACCAAUAAAUCAAGUUUCCACUAAUUGUGUACUGCAGCUUCUACAUAUGGAUCUCUUUGGAUCAACCAGAACUCAGAGCAUUAGAGGUAAAAAAUAUUGCCUAGUAAUUGUGGAUGACUACUCACAAUUUACUUGGGUAUAUUUCCUGACAAGUAAGUCUGAAACAUUUAUUUACUUUGAAAAGUUUGCUAAAAAGAUUCAAAAUGAAAAAUGGUAUGAUAUUUCAAGUAUAAGAAUAGACCAUGGAGGUGAAUUUGAAAAUCAAUAUUUUACAAAAUUCUGUGAUGAAUCUGGUUUUCAGCAUGUGUUCUCCUCUCCAUAUACUCUAGAGCAAAACGGAGUUGUGGAAAGAAAGAAUAGGCCGCUUCAAGAAAUGGCUAGAACUCUUUUAAUUGAAAGUAACAUCUCUUCACGUUUUUGGGCUGAAGCAGUUUCUACAGCAUGUUAUAUUAUUAAUAGAGUUUUUCUAAGACCUAUUAUGGAAAAAAAAAACCCUAUGAGUUAUUCAAAGGAAAAAAAGCCUAUUGUUUCAUAUUUUCAUGUGUUUGGAUGUAAAUGCUUUAUAUUGAAAAAUGCAAAUGAUCGAGUUGGCAAGUUUGAAGAAAAAUCAGACGAAGGCAUCUUCCUUGGAUAUCCUACCUCAAGCAAAGCCUACAGAGUCUACAACAAGAAGACUCAAUCUGUGGAGGAAUCAAUGAAUGUCAAAUUCCAAGAUUUUAUGCAAAAUGAAUCUAUUCAGACCCAUCUUGAAGAAUCUGAACCUGCUCCAGACUCUACAAAGUCUAAAUCUCAAGAAGCAGUUCAAACUUCGAAAGACUAGCAUCAAAUGAUUGUUGAAGAUUCAAAUGAAGAAAGUGAUAAUCAACCUGACAAAUCAACCAGUAACUGGAAGCAUAAGUCUAGUCAUCCCAAAGAUCUCAUUAUAGGCGAGAUUAAUGAAGGAAUUCGCACAAGAUCCAAAAUGCGCGAAGAGUCUAGUGGUGUACCUCUUAUUUCUGAAAUAGAACCCAAAAGCAUAAAAGAAGCUUUAUCUGAUGAAAGCUGGAUUGAAGCCAUGCAAGAAGAACUCAGGCAAUUCAGUAUUAAUGAUGUCUGGGAAUUGACUCCUAAACUGAAAGAUAAAUAUAUUAUUGGAGCUAAAUGGGUUUUCAGGAACAAGAUGGACGAGAAAGGAAAGGUCGUAAGAAACAAAGCAAAACUCGUGGCCAAGGAAUAUACGCAAGAAGAAGGGAUAGACUAUGAUGAGACUUACGCACCAGUAGCGAGGUUAGAAGCAAUUAGAAUAUUACUUGCUUUUGCUUGUUAUAAGUUAGCUGUGGACUAGGAUCCUUAUGUGAAUGAUCCAGGGUCAAUUUACAACAUCCAUGUAUUGGAAUCUCUAAGCUCCCGAGAUUAUAUAUGAGGCACUAAGUAGGACACCGAGGUCUCGUCUUGCCUUGUUGUCUAGUGGCGUGUGUUGGGGUCUUAGGUUCAAGGCACUAACGUUCUUAAUCCAAGAGGUCUUGAGACUAAGCAUUGACGUCUCGAAUUUGAUCCAUAAGGGCGUGUUUGAUAACGUUUCUGUUGCCGGGAACAAUUUCUAAGCAUUUUAAGCCGUUUGGUAACUGUCCAAAAUUUCAAUUCUCGGAAUAGAAUUGCGUUUAGUACAGUGCUCAAAAUUUCUACUCCAAAUCAUUUUCUUUUAAUUUUUAAAUAUUUUUAUUAAUUUUUUUCCUUUUUUCUUCUUUUCUUUUUUCCCUUUCUUUCUCAUAUUCUUCUUCUUCAAGUGGCCAAUUGUCAACAGGUUGGUCGGUGACUGGCUAGACGAGAGUUGGCAACCUCACCGGAGCGUUGCCAACCCUUGGCGAGGACGGCCAUCGUUGGCCGAGCCUCGCUGGCAGCUGGGCAAGGCUCGGCCAAGCCUCAGCGGGGUUGGGGGAGGCCCGCUUGGCCACCGACGAGGCUCGCCUAGCCCUUUUGAGCCUCACUGAACUAGUUGCUAGUGAUUGGUGAUGGUGGGCGGCGGAUGGCGAACGGCAACCACGGCGGUGGCAGUAGAUGAAGAAGAAGAAAAGGGAAGAAGAACAAGAAAAUAAAAAGAGAAAUUGAUUUUAGAAUUGUUCCCAAGAACAAGAAUCAACCUUUUUUAUUUUUAUUUUUUUAUUCUUGAUUCUGUUCCAAAUCUACUUUCGGGAACAAAAACAUAGAAAUUUAUUUCUGAGAACAAAAUUUUUACUAAACACGAUUCUAUUCCAAAAUUGCUCAUGGGAACAAAAGAAUAUAAAUUUUUACUAUUUGGCCAGUUAGCAAACAUGACCUAAGCAAGCACCCAAAGGUCAUGGGUCUGGGCAACUGGGACCUAAGUCCAACCACAAGGUUCUAUGUUUGGUAGCCAAAGUCUCAUCUCUUCAUGGAUUCAACAGUUUGAGUUUUGAGUUAAGAUGCUGAAGGCUUGGUUCAACCCUAGGUGCUAGGGACCGCGCCCAUUGUUCCCAAGUUGAUGACAUGGGAUGCAUGUUUUUAAAUAUUAUGAUUUUUAUUUAUUCUCUUGUCUUUCUUUAUUUUAGAAAUUAUUUUAGAAUACUGGAUGAUUUGUUUCAAUAGUUAUCAUUUACAUAUUUAAGAUAUCGUGGGAUAGAAUUUCUUAUUAGUUUACAUAUUUCCUAUUAUAAAAUUAGAAUUUCCUAAGUGUUUUAGAUAUAAAUAUGCAUUGUGUUUUCUUGUAAUUUGGCUUAUUUAUUGAUGAAUAAAGGGAAAAUUUCAAAUGAGGGCAUAUGGUGCUCUCAUUUUCUCAAAUAAGUGCCUGAAGUAACCGUUAUUUUAAAUAAGGGCUAGAAAAAAAUGAAUUGACCAAAUUCUCUCGAAUAAGGACUUUUGGCUAGCCGUUGACUAUUCUGCCAUUGGAGAAAGGGUAUUUUAGUAAAAAAAGUUCUAAGUAUAUAUUUUUUAUUUUUCUCUCCUUGCCAUGCCUCAAGUGAGGGUUGCCUUUGCUGGCGUUGGGUGAGGGUGAAGGUUGCCCUUGUUAGCCCAAGUGAGGCGAUCCUUGCCAAAUGCUGGGGAGGAGGAGCCGUUGCCUGAGUCCAGCAACUUGAUGGAAAAGGGGGAAAAAAGAAAAAGAAAAUAACAAAAAAAAAAGAAAAAAAAAGGAAUUUUUGUAAAGAUGAAAAUGCCUUUCGAUCAGCAAGGUUAGCCUCUUCUUUGAGACCAAUAUGGCUACUUUAGGUAUUCAUAUGAAACAAUUUCACUUCAAGCCCUUAUUUGAGAAAAUUAUAGCACUUCAAGCCCUUAUUUAAAAUAAAGUCUACUUUAGGCCAUUAUAUGAGAAAAAAAAAAGGAACACUUUAAGCCCUUAUUUGGAAUUUUCCCAUGAAUUAAUGAAAAAAUAGUGAGGUUUUCUUUGUAGCAUUUCGUGUAUGUGCAUCGAAAUGCAUAUCAUGAGUGUUUACUUGCGUUAAGGAAUUCUCAUAUAUGCUAUCACUCAUUUAGGUUAUGUUGGGCUAUCAUAGGUGUUGUCUAGGCAUCACUUGUCUAGCAGUAGUGCUUGUUCAACACUUGUUGCUCCAUAGCUUGCAUAUAAACUAAUUCGAUUUGGAUCACCAUUGGGUUUUUAUUUCUUAACCAUACCAAUUUGCUUCUUAAAUUCACCAAUUUAUCGAAAGGUUGAAAAAAUAAAAUCCAUGCCUAAUAAUUAGGGAAAAUAAAAGUUUAAUAUCAUCUCUGGUAGGAGCUGGAUUUAUAGUGCCACUAGUGAGCAAUUUCACCCAAAAGAACAUGUUUAAUUGAGAAACCUUGAACCGACACAAACAAGGAAAGGAUUACCCACAAAGGGCAAGACAGAAAAGGUGAAAUAUAGACUCCACCUUAAAAAAAAAAACCCAAUUAUAGAUUCACCAUCAUAGCAUCCAGCCAAAAGAUGGAAAAAGGAAGGAACCCCAUCGAUUGCGACAAUCACUAUCGGAAAAUAGAUAAGCUUCGCACAACUUGUGCACUCCACAAAAUGAUUGCGCCCGUCACAAGUUAUGGAGCGCCCCAAUGUCAACAUCUUUAGGGCUAGAACGGCUUAAUUGAUAAGAAAUCAUCUUGAUUAUCAUCAAGACAACGUUGGCCUAAGAAAUCGAGUCUGAUUGGGAUUUGGAAAAAAAUGCAUAUAUUCGCGUCGAUAAUGACAUUUUACGCGCGCGGGUAACAUUUUCAAUGGUGGGAUUGGUGUAGGUCUGCGCAUCCAGAAAUGAUUGUUGCGACAAUGAGUCUUUAUCUUGAUAUUGAUUAAGUUUAACGCGUUUUUAUAAAGAGUCAAAUGAUUUAUUUUUUUUUAAAGCAAAGAAUUAAUCAUUAUUUGAUGCCUAGGGGGCCGUGCCAAACACAGAGAACGAGGAGACAUCGCCAUAGAAAAAGUUGGUACCUUGAUUUGACGGAUUUUUUCAUACUACACACAUCAACCGUUCACGUACUCCAAAGGCGGGGCCUCUCAUGCUUCGAGUCAUGAAAUACCCACAAGAAUUUAUUUGCUUUGUCACUAUAUUAUUUAUCACCUAUGUAUGUAUUUAUGCAUCAACUUAGGUGAAAAUCAUCAUAUAUAAACCGAACCACUAUGAGUCAAAUUAUUCCAUACAUACAUACAUACAUACAUAUAUAUAUAUAUAUAUGUAUAUAUGUAAAGUAUGUUUGUUUUGUGAUUUUUGCUCUAUUAAGUUAAUGUAACAUGUACAAAAGGCGAUCGUCCGACGAGUUUGAGAUUUUACAAAACACAAGCUAAAUUGUUCCCUCUAGUCAAUUUCAAAAGAGUUGGAAUAUUGCAAACUUAACGAAUUUUUAUUUUCUUUUGAAAAACAGAACACCAUUUGUCCGCACAACAAGAGGAGACAUUACCAAAUUUUGUGGACAUGCUUUGUCCGAGACCCAGCCCAUGUCCAGCAGCCCAGAUUGUGAUGGGUCCAGCCUGGACAGGCCCAUGGGGUGGCUGAUGGGCCUUGUCAAACACUAUUCAGUUGCUCUCCUAAGCUACAUAAACGAUCAACGAUAAAAUUCAAUGUCACAAGACAAUUUUCUAUCGGGCACAAUGCAAAUAAUGAGGUCCUAGAAUUAUAUAAUUGCUUUUGAGAUGCGAAGUUCUCAUUUAUCUAAAUCAAUCGUAGCAUGGCAAGUGUUACCAACUUCCUUAUCUUCUUUCAAGAUUAAUAAUAGUAUUUUUCCACAUGAUGAUCCACUUGGAUGGAUUGAAAUGUCAUACUUUGAGAGCACAUAAUUUUUUUUUUAGUAGAUAGAUAUUUUAUUCCUUCUCCUGUUUGCAUUCUAAUAUAAAAAUAUGAAUGCCGCUACCCAAUAUGCUUUCCACUUAAUGAUUGGAGCGUUGAUCUUGUUGUAAAUGCUAGAUCAUCAACUAGGCCGUCUUAAUAAAGAUUAGUUGAAGUUUGCUAUACUUAAGCUCUUUGUGAGGUGCCCAAAACGAGCUCCAAAUUGCAUAAAGACCUUUGACAUGAGCCUGUAAUUUGAAGAGACAGUCGACGUGACCCCAAGUUUUGUAUAUUUGUAAUCUUAACGCAUGUAUGUUGUGGACCUACUUGGUCGCAUCCCAUAUGCUUGGGUUUUGUCAUGUUCAAUUGGAUGUCGCCAUAUCCAAGUUUGUCAUAGCUGUCGACCUAGACUAGGUAAGAACCACAUCAAUUUGCUUCAGUCGGUCGUGAGUAAAUUAUGAGCUGGGAUAAAUGCAAGUGAAUCUCAAGUGAUGCACUGGAGAAAAUAUUUGGAAAUGCCAUCGAACCUCACCUUUUGUCACUUCUAAGUAGUUAUUGAAUGAUCGGGAACGCCUUCUGUCACACCCGAAAACUACAAAGAAUGGGGAUGACACAGCCGUCUAUCCACACGAAGGACGUAGCCUCAAACACAACCAAUAAACUGAUAUCAACUUAUAUAUAUCUCAAAUCAUAUAUAUACAUAUCAGAUAAAUCAAUAAAUUGGUUGCAACAUCAAAAUUUCUAUAAUCCACCAAAAAAGAUAUACGUUUAAAACUCAGACAAUACAACCACUAGCAGGGAUCAUAUGCACCACUUCCUUAAACCAUACCAAAGAAAAUAAAAAUAGGACUCCCUAAAAGUUUCCCACCAACGGCCCUCUCGCUCUAUUCGCUGCUAACCGAGGAACUUGAAAAGAUUAAAAGAGGAGUGGGAUGAGCAACAACAACUUAGUGAUACCAAACUUCAUAACGCCAACUCAAUAUAUAAAAUACAUAUCAAAUCUUAUAAGAGUUAUUUCUUAUCAUCAAAGCUUAAUAAUAAUAUGGAAAACUCAUUUAAAUCGCCAUCAAAAGUCAAGUAUCAAUAGUCGAAUCCAUUGAAUAAUCUCCAUCAAAAAUACAUAUCAAUGGUCUAUCCAUUCAUUCAUCUCAUAUCAAACACACAUCGAUGGUCUAUCCAUCGACCAAUCUUUUGUUCAAUAACUAACUAUGGUCACGACACAAUGCCUUGUGACAAGGUGACCAAGAUUUCCCCUUGGCAAGGUCUCCACCUACAAAGUCGAUGGCUGGGCCCAGAAGGAUAUCCCAAACCUAGUAUGCAUACCCCAAAAAGCCCUUACUGGGUUCACAGUCAUAUUGAGCAUAAAUAACCAUUCUUCAAUACUAGAAAACCCAAUUCAGAAAUCAAUAUCUUAAACCAAACAAAUAACAUUUGCGGCAUAGCCCAUCAUCCAUUUUAUAUCCAUUUCUCAAAUCAUCAUAAACAUUUUCAUGAAUCAAUCACAAGGCAAUUUCAUAGAUAUUUCUCCACUUACUUUGUAUAAUACACUUUUCAAACAUCCACAAUCAACCAAUGAGUAGCAAUUGCUCGACCUGGCUUUUAUGCAAUAAAAAUGCUCUUCUCGAUUCAAUAUAUAUACAUAUAUAUACUUCAAGACAUGGUUUUUACAAAACCAAAGAAGAUAUACUACCACUCACCUCGUCCUCUACGACCAAACGACGAACGAUACUCGUAUCGUCGAACUCAAUGCCCUAUCAAAUAACCGAGAAAAAUGUUAAAAUCUAAUAAAACUCUAUCUCAACUACGAAACAACUAAAUUACGCCUUAACUCUAACAAAAGGAUUUCUACUCGCUAAUAAUUCGCAUAACCAAAACGAUUGUUCAAGCCAUUCGUGACGUGGAGUUUAAGCGCAAAACUUAGUUACGCAAUAACUUUCUCAUCCAAACCCCGUUCCGAACGUACUUUUGGUCAAUAAAGAGCCCUUGACACAUAUUACAAGAAUCCCAACUUGACUGUCCCAAAAUCAAGCAAAAAGAUGACAAAAUACGGGUCCAAAGCUGUUGGACACGUACUGUUCAUUGCGCGCGAGAAACUUUGAAAUUUUGUUUUGGAAAAACUUAUUAGCUCAAAUCACGAUCCAUAAAAUCCCACGGCUCCACAACACACUAAACUACCAUUCCUACAAAAAUACGCGGCUUAACGACUCCAAAAUCGGACUUCGCCGCUCGAUUUUCCAAAAAUUCCGAAUUUGAACCUUGAACCCAUAAACUGCUUCAAUUGGACGAAUGGGGGGCCUAAUCUCUUACCGGGUGCUGCAUUAUGGGAUCGAGUUGGCUUGGUGAGGCAUCUGAGGCAUGCAUGUGCCAAAACUUCUUUCCUUUCUUCUUCUUCUUCUUAUUUAUUUAUUUAUUUUUGGUUGAGGACCCCUCAGCUUCUAUUUAACCGAGCCCUGACUUUUCAACUUCUUUUUCUGUUUUUUCUUUUGGGGCCCAGUAGCCAAAUAUUACAUUCUACCUUCCUAAAAAAAAAUUUCGUCCUCGAAAUUUACAUGUACUUCAAUCAUAAAACAAGUGAUGGUAUUUGUGUCAUGCCUCCUCCUCGAGUUCCCAAGUAGCCUCUCUCUCGGUGUGGUUUUGCCAUUGUAUUUUCACAUAAGGAAUAGUUCGUCGCCGCAACACCUGAUCCUUCUUAUCGACAAUGCAAAUAUGUUGUUCCUCAUAUGUCAAGUUCUCCCGUAAUCUCAAUGGAGUAAAGUCUAGCACAUGUUCAGGAUUUGCACAUAUUUCCGCAACAAAGAGACAUGGAACACAUUAUGGACAGUUGAUAGUGCCGGUGGCAAAGCCAAUUUAUAAGCGACUUCACCAAUUUUCUCUAAGAUCAAGAAUGGUCCCAUGUACCUUGGAUUUAACUUCCCACGUGUGUCAAAUCUCGUUACACCCUUCGUAGGAGAAACUUUUAAGAACACGUGAUCCCCCACAUUAAAUUCUAACUUGCGUCUUUUUAGAUCCGCAUAACUUUUCUGAUGAUUUUGAGCCGUUCUGAGACGUUCUCGAACCAACCUAACUUUCUCUUCUAAUUGCUGGAUGAACUUAGAGCCAGUUAGUCUUUUCUCACCAACGUCUUCCCAAAAAAUAGGACUUCUACAUUUUCGUGCCAUCUUAAUACUGGAGUGAUAAUUGUUGUUAUAAGAAAAUUAUGCCAAAUAUAGAUAUUCAUCCCAAGAACCGCCAAAGUCAAUGAUGCAUGAUCUCAACAUAUCCUCUAAUGUCUGGAUCGUUCUCUCUGAUUGUCCAUCUGUUUGUGGAUGAAAAGCUAUACUUAAGUUGAGUUUAGUGCCCAAUGCUGCUUGCAAACUCUUCCAAAAGUUAGACACGAACCUAGGAUCCCUAUCAGAAAUAAUGCUUACAGGAACUCCAUGAAGCUUCACUAUCUCAUUAACAUAUCGCCUUGCCAUAUCUUCCAUUGAAAGACCAAAUCGAUAUGACAAAAAGUGAGUGGACUUAGUCAAUCGAUCACCAUUCACCCAAAUAGAAUUCCUACCACUGGGCGUCCUCGGUAGACCAACUACAAAGUCCAUGGCAAUAUGCUCCCACUUCCAUGUAGGUAUCUCUAGAGGUUGCAACUAUCCACCUGGUUUAUGAUGUUCAAUUUUCACUGGCUGGCAAACUAAACAUUGAUCAACAAAUUUUAUAAUAUCAUUUUUCAUGUUGAUUCACCAAAAGUUUUUUCUCAAGUCCCUAUACAUUUUAGUGCUUCCCGGAUGAAUUGAAAAUCUAGUACUGUGAGCUUCUUGCAGGAUCUCCUUUUUCAGCUUUGAGUCCUCAGGAACACAUAGUCAACCACGAAACCUCAAGGAUCCAUCUAUGUGUAAACUAAAUCUGCUUGUCUUUAAGCUUCCACAGCUUCUCUAAUUUUUUGUAAUUGUGGAUCUUCAUUCUGUUUAGCCUUAAUUAUGUUAAUCAACAUAGGUUGUACUUGAAGAUUAGCUAAUUGAGCACCAAGCUGCUGCACCAACACCUCUAAGUCUAACUUCCUCAUAUCUUCAAGAAUGAGUUUUUAAGAAGUGAGCAAAGCUACCAUAUUUCCAAAGGAUUUACGACUCAAAGCAUUCGCUACCACAUUAGCCUUACCCAGAUGGUAAUUAAUGGAUAAGUCAUAAUCAUUCAAAAGUUCUAACUAUCUUCUUUGCCUCAUGUUCAGUUCUUUCUGAGUAAAAAUAUACUUUAGACUCUUGUGAUCGGUAAAGGCUUCACAUUUUUCACCAUACAAAUGAUGCUGCCAUAUCUUCAAGGCAAACACAACCGCCGCUAACUCCAAAUCAUGAGUGGGGUAGUUCUUCUCAUGUAAUUUCAAUUGUCUAGAAGCAUAGGCAACAACUUUGCUAUUUUGCAUAUAAACACAACCCAAACCUUCUUUGGAUGCGUCGCAAUAGAUUAUGAAGCCACCACUUCCAGAAGGUAGAGUUAGAAUAGGAGCCGACACCAGCCGUCUCUUCAACUCUUGAAAACUAUGUUCACAUUGGUCUGACCAUUCAAAUUUAACUUUCUUCUGGGUUAGACGGGUAAGUGGACUAGCAAUCUUUGAGAAUCCCUCUACAAAUCGCUUAUAGUAGCUGGCUAGCCCAAGAAAACUUCUCACUUCUGUAACAUUAGUUGGACGAUUCCACUUAACAACUACUUCAACCUUCUUUGGAUCCACUAAUAUGCCAUCCUUCGAGAUCACGUGACCCAAGAAUUCUAUAUGAUCAAGCCAAAAAUCACACUUACUAAAUUUGGCAUACAACUUCUUUUCAUGUAAAGUCUGCAAGACAAACCUCAAGUAUUGUUCGUGUUCCUCUAAACUCUUCGAAUACACUAGGAUGUCAUCAAUGAACACCAUAAUAAAUUUGUCUAGAUAUUCCCUGAACACUUUGUUCAUCAAGUCCAUGAAGGCAACAAGCGCAUUUGUUAAUCCAAAAUGCAUGACGAGAAAUUCAUAAUGGUCAUACCUUGUUCUAAAAGUGGUUUUAGGCACAUCAUCUGUUUUUAUCUUCAACUGAUGAUACCCAUAACGAAGGUCAAUCUUGGAAAAUACCUGAGCUCCCUGAAGUUGAUCAAAUAAAUCCUCAAUCCAAGGCAAAUGAUAUUUGUUUUUAACCGUUACCUUGUUAAGCUCUCGAUAAUCUAUGCAAAGCUGCAUACUACCAUCCUUCGUUUUCACAAAUAGAACAGGAGCUCCCCAAGGCGAAACACUAGGUUUGAUGAAACCUUAUCGAAAAGCUUUUCAGUUGCGUUUUCAAUUCUUUCAAUUCAGUGGGUGCCAUCCGAUAUGGUGCCUUAGAGAUUGGUGCUGUACCGAGCAUCAAUUCAAUACAAAACUCAAUUUCUCUAUCAAGAGGCAAGCUUGGUAAAUCCUCAGGAAACACACUUGGAAACUCUCUAACGACAGGAACAUCUUCCAACUUUACUACAACCUUAUGUGUGUCUUUUACACAAGCUAAAUAACCACAACAGCCUUUUCUCAAAAGUUUCCUUGCUUGCAAAGCUGAGGUCAACCUUGGAGAAAUGUUUUGACAACUUCUCGAAAAAGAGAAUUCGGGUUGAUUCGAAAGUCUAAGUAUCACCUUUUUUGAAAAACAGUCAACAAUAGCACGAUAGGUAGAUAACCAAUUCAUUCCUAUAAUAACAUCGAAAUCUCGAAUAUUUAACUCUACUAGAUCCACAGGCAUUUCAACAUUUUUAAUCUGAAUCACACAUCUCUUGAACACAUGAUGACCAACUAAGAAAUCGCCAGUGGGAGUAUCAACACACAAUUCACAUUCAAGAGGGUCAGGCAACACAUCAAGCUUCUUUGCAAUUUCAGUUGAAAUGAAGAAGUGCGUAGCACCAGGAUCAAAUAAGGCAUAAGCACAUUGUGAGGCAAUAGAAAUAUUACGUGCAACAAUUGCGUUAGAUGCUGCCGCAUCCUCCUUCGUCAUUGCAAAAACUUUCUCACUUGUACUUUGUCUUUGUUAGUUCUCUUGGGGCCUACCAACGAAAGGGGUAUUCCUCCGCAUGGAACACUGGUGUGCUAGGUGGCCUUGUCGCUCACAUAGAUUACAUGAUCUAUUGCCAAUAGGAGGAUUCCUUUGUGUAGAACAAUCUCGCAGCAUGUGUCCCGCUUUCCUACAUGAGAAGCAUACUUCAAUUUUCCGAUGACACUCACUGCGAUGAUAACUUCCACAUGUAUUACAAGGGCCCUGGUUACUCGGAUUUCUGAACUAUCCUGGCCGGCUGAAACCUCUUCGCCUUCCACUACCAUCAGUAUGGCUACCUUGUACAUUUGUGGGCUUAAACCUUUUGGGUUUAGGCGCUCCUUGUGUGCCAUGCUUCAGAAUGCUUUGUUCCACCUUGAUUGUCCGUUCUAGCACAUCCUUAUAAGUUUUUAAUAUGAAAGGUGCAAGUGCAGAAUUAAUUUUAGGUCGGAGCCCUCCUAGGAAAUGGUCGGCCUUAUCUUCCUCAUUUGCUACCUAGUGCUCUGCAAAUCUACUCAACUGAUUAAAGCGAACUGAAUACUCCAAGACCGUGGAGUCACCCUCAGAUAUAUGUACAAAGUCACCCUUCAUCUUUGCCUGGAAUGACUUUGGGAAGAAUUGAGCAUUGAACGCCUUUUAAAAGUCCUCCCAAGAUAUAAUAACAUCCCUACCUCCAAGACUUGGCUUCAUUCCAUCCCACCAAAACUCUGCUUCACCUUCCAGGUAUUGGGUGGCAAAUUGAACUUUCCGAUCCUCGGGAACCUCUUCAGCUUCAAAGAUCCCAUCAAUCUUUUUAAUCCAACGCUUAGUCGCAAGAGGAUCAGCUUUCCCAUCAAAAGUGGGUGGUUUUGCCUUUCUUAAAUGGGCAAAAGUGCCUGAGCCAGUCGCUCCAUCUCCAGUUAAUUCUUUUGCUUGGUGAUACCAAUGGAUCAUUACUUGUUCAAAUUCAGUUGAACAGGUUGGCUCUUGAUCCUCUUCUUUGACUUCGCGCAAGUUAGGACUCCUAUUAUAGUGGUCCUCAAGUCUCCUUCUCAAAAACUCACCUCGAGAAGCUUGAGGUAUGUCUCUAGCCUCAGGGGUAGUGACUCGUUUGCCUUUGCGGCUCCUACGAAGCGAGGCAAGUGUCUCAAAGUUGGUACUCAUGAUCACCUGAAUCUAAUAAUGAAACUACACCUUAGAAUCUAGAAGACUAACGCAAAAAUAAAAUCUAUCACACAACCUCACAACAUCCCAUAACUACAUCCAAAAAGAUCAAAACUUAGGCUCUGAUACAAAAAAUGUCACACCCCAAAACUACAAAGAAUGAGGAUGACACGGCCAUCAUUCCACACGAAUGACGCGACCUCAAACACAAUCAACAAACUAAUAUCAACUUAUAUAUAUCUCAAAUCAUAUAUACACAUAUAAGAUAAACCAACAAAUUGGUUGCAAUAUCAGAGUUUCUAUAAUCCACUAAAAAAAAUAUACGUUUAAAACUCAGACAAUACAACCACUAGUAAGGAUCAUGUGCACCACUUCUUUAAACCAUAUCAAAGAAAAUAAAAAUAGAACUCCCCAAAAGUUUCCCACCAACGGCCCUCUCGCUCUAUUCGCCGCUAACCGAGGAACUUGAAAAGAUUAAAGGAGGAGUGGGAUGAGCAACAACAGCUUAAUGAGUAGUACAUCUCUUCUAAGUAGAUCGAACAACCAUUAUGCAUGUAUAUAAAGUAAUACCAAACUUCAUAACGCCAACUCAAUAUAUAAAAUACAUAUCGAAUCUUAUAAGAGUUAUUUAUUAUCAUCAAAGCUUAAUAAUAAUACGGAAAACUCAUUUAAAUCGCCAUCAAAAGUCAAGUAUCAAUGGUCGAAUCCAUUGAAUAAUCUCCAUCAAAAACACAUAUCAAUGAUCUAUCCAUUCAUUCAUCUCAUAUCAAACACACAUUGAUGGUCCAUCCAUCGACCAAUCUUUUGCUCAAUAACUAACCAUGGUCACAACACAACGCCUUGUGAUAAGGCGACCGAGAUUUCCCCUUGGCAAGGUCUCCACCUACAAAGUCGAUGACUGGGCCCAGAAGGAUAUCCCAAAUCUAGUAUGCAUACCCCAAAAAGCCCUCACUGGGUUCACAGUCAUAUUGAGCAUAAUAACCAUUCUCCAAUACCAGAAAAUCCAAUCAAGAAAUCAAUAUCUUAAACUAAACAAAUAACAUUUGCAGCAUAGCCCAUCAUCCAUUUCAUAUCAAUUUCUCAAAUCAUCAUAAACCUUUUCAUGAAUCAGUCGCAAAGUAAUUUCAUAUAUAUUUCUCCACUUACUUUGUGUAAUACACUUUUCAAACAUUCACAAUCAACCAAAAAGUAACAAUUGCUCAAUCUGGCUUUUAUGCAAUAAAAAUGCUCUUCUCGAUUCAAUAUAUAUAUUUCAGGACAUGAUUUUUAUAAAAUCAAAGAAGAUAUAGUACGACUCACCUUGUCGUCUACAACCAAACGACGAACGAUACUCGUAUCGUGGAAUUCAAGGCCCUAUCAAAUAACCAAGAAAAAUGUUAAAAUCUAAUAAAACUCUAUCUCAAUUACGAAACAGCUAAAUUACGCCUUAACUCAAACAAAAAGACUUCUAUGCGCUAACAAUUCGCAUAACCAAAACGAUUGUUCAAGCCAUUCGUGACGCGGAGUUUAAACGCAAAACUUAGUUACGCAAUAACUUCCUCCUCUGAACCCCAUUUUGAACGUACUUAUAGUCAAUAGAGAGCCCUUGACAAAUAUUACAAGAAUCCCAACUUGACUGUCCCAAAAUCAAGCUGAAAGAUGACAAAAUACGGGCCAAAAGUUGCUGGACGCGUACUGUUCACUGCGCGCAAGAAACUUUGAAAUUUUGUUUCGGACAAACCAUAUGCUCAAAUCAUGAUCCAUAAAAUCCCACGGCUUCACAACACCAUGAACUACCAUUCCUACAAAAAUACGCAGCUCAACGACUCCAAAAAUGGACUUUGCUGCUCGAUUUUCUAAAAGUUCCGAAUUUGACCCCUAAACCCAUAAACUACUUCAAUUGGACGAACGAGGAGCCUAAUCUCUUACCGGGUGCUGUGUUAUGGGGUCGAGUUGGCUUGGUGAGGCGUUCAAGGCGUGCACGUGCUAAAACUCUUUUCCUUUCUUCCCCUUUCUCUUCUUUCUUUUCUUUCUGGUUGAGGACCCCUCAGCUUCUAUUUAACCGAGCCCUCUCCCCUCUUCUUUUUACUUUAUUGACUUUUCAACUUCUUUUUAUGUUUCUUCUUUUGGGCCCCACUAGCCAAAUAUUACACCUUCCCACCGAGUCAAGUCAAUGUCGCCCCUACCAUCUUCUACGUCUGGACGUGAGGAAGUUAUUGUUGCCCGAGUGACGCAUGUAAUGACGCCUUGAGGCCCUCCAUCUUUUCCUUAUCACAACUUGUCCCGUUCUUGCACCGAUUCCUCACUCCUAGUGCGUCCCACGUUCACCAGAUUUCUGAGGAAGAAAGGAAAAUGUCGAGCUCUCAGUGUUUUGAGAACCCACCAAACCUGAGCUCCACUUGCGGAGCAGGACACGUUGAAGAGCUUGCAGGUCUCAAGACUUACGUCACCGGCCCUUCCGAUUCCAAGCGUGCUGUUCUUCUCAUCGCCGAUGUUUUCGGUACUGGCCCAUUUCUUUAAUUUUGAUUUUGUGG